AACGAACGCUGGCGGCAUGCCUAACACAUGCAAGUCGAACGAGACCUUCGGGUCUAGUGGCGCACGGGUGCGUAACGCGUGGGAACCUGCCCUUAGGUUCGGAAUAACUCCCCGAAAGGGGUGCUAAUACCGGAUAAUGUCUUCGGACCAAAGAUUUAUCGCCUUUGGAUGGGCCCGCGUUGGAUUAGCUAGUUGGUAGGGUAAAAGCCUACCAAGGCGACGAUCCAUAGCUGGUCUGAGAGGAUGAUCAGCCACACUGGGACUGAGACACGGCCCAGACUCCUACGGGAGGCAGCAGUGGGGAAUAUUGGACAAUGGGCGAAAGCCUGAACCAGCAAUGCCGCGUGAGUGAUGAAGGCCUUAGGGUUGUAAAGCUCGUUUACCCGGGAUGAUAAUGACAGUACCGGGAGAAUAAGCUCCGGCUAACUCCGUG
rnacentral:rRNA from 1 species